rnacentral:rRNA from 1 species
GGCUUGUUGAUAAUGAUUUCAAGUCUGACCUGCCCACUGAGUAGUUAAAUGGCCGCGGUAUACUGACCGUGCAAAGGUAGCAUAAUCACUAGUUUUUUAAUUGGAAGCUUGAAUGAAAGGUUUGAUGAGAAAAUUUCUGUCUCUGUAAAAAUUUAUUAGAAUUUUAUUUUUAAGUGAGAAAGCUUAAAUUAUUAUAGAAGACGAGAAGACCCUAUAGAGUUUUAUACAGAAGCAAGAUAUUUUAAUUAGCCUUGUAUUUUUUUGGGGUGACAGAUAAAUUAAAUAAACUUUUUUUACAUGGGAACAUUUAUUUAUGAGUUGUUGAUCCUAGAUAUUAGAUUAUAAGAUUAAAUUACCUUAGGGAUAACAGCGUAAUCUUUUUUAGAGCUCUUAUCGAAAAAAGGGAUUGCGACCUCGAUGUUGGAUUAAAAUUAAUUAUUGGUGUAGAAGCUGGAAGUAUAUUAGGUCUGUUCGACCUUUGAAAUUUUACAUGAUCUGAGUUUAAACCGGCGUGAG